UACGGGAGGCAGCAGUGGGGAAUAUUGCACAAUGGGCGCAAGCCUGAUGCAGCCAUGCCGCGUGUAUGAAGAAAGCCUUCGGGUUGUAAAGUACUUUCAGUCGUGAGGAAGGUGUUAAGGUUAAUAACCUUAGCAAUUGGCGUUAGCGACAGAAGAAGCACCGGCUAACUCCGUGCCAGCAGCCGCGGUAAUACGGAGGGUGCGAGCGUUAAUCGGAAUUACUGGGCGUAAAGGGCACGCAGGCGGUUAAUUAAGUUGGAUGUGAAAUCCCCGGGCUUAACCUGGGAAUGGCAUUCAAGACUGGUUAGCUAGAGUCUUGUAGAGGGGGUUAGAAUUCCAUGUGUAGCGGUGAAAUGCGUAGAGAUGUGGAGGAAUACCGGUGGGCGAAGGCGGCCCCUGGGACAAAGGACUGACGCUCAUGUGCGAAAGCGUGGGGAGCAAACAGGGAUUAGAUACC
rnacentral:rRNA from 1 species